UACGUAGGUGGCGAGCGUUGUCCGGAUUUACUGGGCGUAAAGGGAGCGUAGGCGGACUUUUAAGUGAGAUGUGAAAUACCCGGGCUCAACUUGGGUGCUGCAUUUCAAACUGGAAGUCUAGAGUGCAGGAGAGGAGAGUGGAAUUCCUAGUGUAGCGGUGAAAUGCGUAGAUAUUAGGAGGAACACCAGUAGCGAAGGCGGCUCUCUGGACUGUAACUGACGCUGAGGCACGAAAGCGUGGGGAGCAAACAGGAUUAGAUACCCCCGUAGUCCCU
rnacentral:rRNA from 1 species